rnacentral:rRNA from 1 species
GACGUAGGGGGCGAGCGUUGUCCGGAUUUAUUGGGCGUAAAGAGCUCGUAGGCGGCUCAGAAAGUCGGGUGUGAAACCUCCAGGCUCAACCUGGAGACGCCACCUGAUACUGCUGUGGCUAGAGUCCGGUAGGGGAACACGGAAUUCCCGGUGUAGCGGUGAAAUGCUUAGAUAUCGGGAGGAACACCAGUGGCGAAGGCGGUGUUCUGGGCCGGAACUGACGCUGAGGAGCGAAAGCGUGGGUAGCAAACGAGG